rnacentral:lncRNA from 1 species
AGCAGCAGAGGCCAUAGAACCAAGCUGAGAACAGACUGAGGACUUCUUCCGGCUUUGUUCCCUGCAAACAUCUUCAGGGGAAGAGCCUGUGCUCUUUGCCUUGUUCAAGGAAGUAACUAGCAGACUGGAAUCAGGGCAAUAUGGCAGAAAGACAGAGGCAAGGAGUCAAAGGUUGUGACUGGAGUCUUGCGCCUUCCUGAAACUUCUGUUCCAGACAAACUGGUCUUCUGACUGUCCCAAGAAUAGGCCCAGUGAGAGUCAAAAAGUGCCCAGGAGACCAUAUCCACCUGGCCAGCUGCCACAGGCUCUUCAACCCUACCGAGGAUGGGAUCCAUCAUGCCUUCCUCCUCACUGUGGCCCAGGACUUAUUCCGCUACCUCUUCCUCCUGGUCCACCAGGGCGCAUUCCUCCUCCUCCUCCCUUUGGCCCAGGGCGCAUUCCAUUUCAACCCCUUCCACAGGGACCCAUUAAACAAGCUAAACCCUUUCCAGGUUACCCAGAACCACCUUUCCAACAAAGACCUUACCCUCCAGGACCUCCUCAGGUGCCAAAAGGCCAACUUCCCUUUAUUCCUUUUUGCCCUCCUUGCCCCACCCCUACAACCCUAUGUGAAACAACCACCACAGCUACAACCACAAGCACUACCGUUACAGAACCCACCACCAUACCACGAAAGAAACCACUACUUCCACAGAACUCACUACCACAACAGCAACCACCACCACUUGCACUGAACCUUCCACCACCCCAGCAGCCAUCACUUCCACUGAACCCACCACCACAGCACCCACCACCAGCACUUCCAUAG